rnacentral:rRNA from 1 species
UACGUAGGGUGCAAGCAUUGUCCGGAAUCAUUGGGCGUAAAGCGCGCGUAGGUGGCUUCGUAAGUCCGUUGUGAAAGUCAAAGGCUCAACCUUUGAAUGCCGAUGGAUACUGCGGAGCUAGAGUACGGAAGAGGCGAGUGGAAUUCCUGGUGUAGCGGUGGAAUGCGCAGAUAUCAGGAGGAACACCAAUAGCGAAGGCAGCUCGCUGGGACGUUACUGACACUAAGGCGCGAAAGCGUGGGGAGCGAACAGG